UGGGGUGUAGCUCAGUGGUAGAGCACAUGCAAGCUUAGCCUAAGUGUGACCCUGGGUUCAAUCCCCAGCACCCCAA
rnacentral:tRNA from 1 species